GACGAACGCUGGCGGCGUGCCUAAUACAUGCAAGUCGAACGCAGUUGCGAACGGGUGCGUAACGCGUAGUUACCUGCCUCAUCCCAGGGGUUAACUAUUGGAAACGAUAGCUAAUACCUCCUACUGUGAGAUGGACCUGCGUUGUAUUGGCUAGUUGGUUCGGUAAAUGCUCACCAAGGCGACGAUACAUAGCCGACCUGAUAGGGUGGACGGCUACCCUGGGAGUGAGAGUGGGCCACGAACCCUGCGGGGGGCAGCGGUAGGGAAUCUUCGGCAAUGGAAGAAAGUCUGAUCGAGGAAAGUCGCGUGAAGGAAGAAGGUGUUCGGAUCGGAAAGCUAUGUUGCUAGAGAAGCGGUAACUAACCAGAAAGGGACGGCUAACUACGUGCCAGCAGCCGCGGUAAUAC
rnacentral:rRNA from 1 species